MGGAWUCACGGAUCCAGAGUUUGAUUAUGGCUCAGGAUGAACGCUAGCUACAGGCUUAACACAUGCAAGUCGAGGGGCAGCAUGGUCUUAGCUUGCUAAGGCUGAUGGCGACCGGCGCACGGGUGAGUAACACGUAUCCAACCUGCCGUCUACUCUUGGCCAGCCUUCUGAAAGGAAGAUUAAUCCAGGAUGGCAUCAUAAGUUCACAUGUCCGCAUGAUUAAAGGUAUUUUCCGGUAGACGAUGGGGAUGCGUUCCAUUAGAUAGUAGGCGGGGUAACGGCCCACCUAGUCAACGAUGGAUAGGGGUUCUGAGAGGAAGGUCCCCCACAUUGGAACUGAGACACGGUCCAAACUCCUACGGGAGGCAGCAGUGAGGAAUAUUGGUCAAUGGGCGAUGGCCUGAACCAGCCAAGUAGCGUGAAGGAUGACUGCCCUAUGGGUUGUAAACUUCUUUUAUAAAGGAAUAAAGUCGGGUAUGCAUACCCGUUUGCAUGUACUUUAUGAAUAAGGAUCGGCUAACUCCGUGCCAGCAGCCGCGGUAAUACGGAGGAUCCGAGCGUUAUCCGGAUUUAUUGGGUUUAAAGGGAGCGUAGAUGGAUGUUUAAGUCAGUUGUGAAAGUUUGCGGCUCAACCGUAAAAUUGCAGUUGAUACUGGAUGUCUUGAGUGCAGUUGAGGCAGGCGGAAUUCGUGGUGUAGCGGUGAAAUGCUUAGAUAUCACGAAGAACUCCGAUUGCGAAGGCAGCCUGCUAAGCUGCAACUGACAUUGAGGCUCGAAAGUGUGGGUAUCAAACAGGAUUAGAUACCCUGGUAGUCCACACGGUAAACGAUGAAUACUCGCUGUUUGCGAUAUACGGCAAGCGGCCAAGCGAAASKAUAAGUAUUCCACCUGGGGAGUACGCCGGCAACGGUGAAACUCAAAGGAAUUGACGGGGGCCSCACAAGCGAGGAACAUGUGGUUUAAUUCGAUGAUACGCGAGGAACYUAMCCGGGCUUAAAUUGCACUCSAAUGAUCCGGAAACGGUUCAGCUAGCAAUAGCGAGUGUAGAAGGUGCUGCAUGGUUGKYSUBCACYUCGUSCGUGAAGUKKUCKGBYUAAGUKC
rnacentral:rRNA from 1 species